rnacentral:rRNA from 1 species
GACGAACGCUGGCGGCGUGCUUAACACAUGCAAGUCGAACGGAAAGGCCCUGCUUUUGUGGGGUGCUCGAGUGGCGAACGGGUGAGUAACACGUGAGUAACCUGCCCUUGACUUUGGGAUAACUUCAGGAAACUGGGGCUAAUACCGGAUAGGAGCUCCGGCUGCAUGGUGGGGGUUGGAAAGUUUCGGCGGUUGGGGAUGGACUCGCGGCUUAUCAGCUUGUUGGUGGGGUAGUGGCUUACCAAGGCUUUGACGGGUAGCCGGCCUGGGAGGGUGACCGGCAACUUUGGGAUGGGUGUCCGGCCCGGCCCCCACGGGGGGAAGGCGGGGGGGAUUUUUGAAGAAGGGGCGGAGCCUGUACCCAGCACGCCCGCGUGGGGGGGGGGGGCUUGCGGUUUGUAAUCCGCUUGCGCUUGGGAGGAAGCGGGGGGGAGGGUAAUGGAAAAAGAACCCCGGGCUAACUCCGUG